GCCGAAGUGGUGGAACUUGGUAGACACGCUAUCUUGAGGGGGUAGUGCUCACAAGGCGUGCGGGUUCAAAUCCCGCCUUCGGCACCA
rnacentral:tRNA from 1 species